UACGGAGGGUGCAAGCGUUAUCCGGAUUCACUGGGUUUAAAGGGUGCGUAGGAGGGCAGGUAAGUCAGUGGUGAAAUCUCCAAGCUUAACUUGGAAACUGCCGUUGAUACUAUCUGUCUUGAAUAUUGUGGAGGUGAGCGGAAUAUGUCAUGCAGCGGUGAAAUGCUUAGAUAUGACAUAGAACACCAAUUGCGAAGGCAGCUCACUACUCAAUCAUUGACUCUGAGGCACGAAAGCGUGGGGAUCAAACAGG
rnacentral:rRNA from 1 species